rnacentral:lncRNA from 1 species
UUAGCUCAAGUGUGUGUGUGUGUGUGUGUGUGUGUGUGUGUGUGUGUGUGUGUGUGUGUGUGUGUGUGUGUGCGCGCGUGUGUGUGCGCGCGUGUGUGCGUGUGCGUCUAUGUGUUUGUAUAUUAUAGUUCGGAGAGAAUGAGGAGGUAGGAGUUUAGGCUGCGUAAGACUUCCUGUGUUUGUGUGUGUCCUCUUCUGCUCUCUCCUCCUCUCCUGCUGUCUAUCCUCUCCUCUUCUGCUCUCUCUCCUUUCUUCUCCUCUUCUGCUCUCUCCUCCUCUCCUCUUCUGCUCUCUCUUUCUCUCUCUCUCCUCUUCUGCUCUCUCUCUCUCCUCUCCUCCUCUUCUGCUCUCUUCUCUCCUCUGCUCUCUCUCUCCUCUUCUGCUCCCUCUCCCCUCUCCUCUCCUCCUCUGCUCUCUCUCUCCUCUUCUGCUCUCUCUCCCCUCUCCUUCUCUCCUGCUCUCUCUCUCUUCUCCUCUUCUGCUCUCUUCUCUCCUGCUCUCUCUCUCUCUCCUCUUCUGCUCUCUAUCCUCUCCUCCUCUGCUCUCUCUCUCCUCUUCUGCUCUCUCCCCUCUCCUCUCCUGCUCUCUCUCUCUCCUCUUCUGCUCUCUCCCCUCUCCUCUCCUGCUCUCUCUCUCUUCUCCUCUUCUGCUCUCUCUCCCCUCUCCUCUCCUCCUCUGCUCUCUCCUCCUCUUCUGCUCUCUCUCUCCUCUUCUGCUCCCUCUCCCCUCUCCUCUCCUCCUCUACUGCUCUCUCCCCUCUCCUCUCCUCCUCUGCUCUCUCUCUCCUCUUCUGCUCUCUCCCCUCUCCUCUCCUGCUCUCUCUCUCUCUCCUCUUCUGCUCUCUAUCCUCUCCUCUCCUGCUCUCUCUCUCUUCUCCUCUUCUGCUCUCUUCUCUCCUCCUCUGCUCUCUCUCUCCUCUUCUGCUCUCUCCCCUCUCCUCUCCUGCUCUCUCUCUCUCUCCUCUUCUGCUCUCUAUCCUCUCCUCUUCUGCUCUCUCUCUCUCUCCUCUUCUGCUCUCUAUCCUCUCCUCUCCUGCUCUCUCAUCUCCUCUCCUGCUCUCUCUCCCCUCUCCUUCUCUCCUGCUCUCUCAUCUCCUCUCCUGCUCUCUCUCUCUUCUCCUCUUCUGCUCUCUAUGUGUCCUUAGUAGGGGACAGUCAGGCAUUAGGGACCAAGACUAUUGACCCCAACUUCCUGUUCCUUACACAUACACACACGCACGCACACACACACACACACACACACACACACACACACACACACACACACACACACACACACUCACGUGAAAGAUGCCAGGAUAGAAGGUCAUGUCUA